GCUGAGCUCUUCUACAUUGUGGUGCCAGAGUUUGGGACACUGCAGAGAGCUGGCUGUGACAAAGACUCUUCUCUGCACCCUGUCCACAUCUUUCGUGAAUUGUGGAGACCAGAAGUGGACACAGUAUUCCAGCAGUGGUUGUACCAGUGCCAUGUACAGAGAGCUUGAUGAAUAAUUUACAAAUAAAUUGGCAAAAUCAUUUAUUCUUCACAUUGUGAUGGGUUCCCCCUGGUGUGCCACCUGGAACUGGGAUACCAGUGAGCCCUCUGACCCACCAGCCCUGGCUCCCUCUCUCAGUGUGCUGCUGUGACAAACUGCAGACCCGCUCCUGGUCCUACACUU